CACAGGGUGCUGUCACAACAGUCAUGAAGGACACUGACCAAUAAAAAAAAAAAACCACAGAGAAUAUUACCACAGCCCAAGAAUACUUGCUUCUCUCUCUAGAUCGGUGGUUAACAAACUACCUUGGCUGGUACUAAAUGUAGCCCUUUAUUUUUGUCCAGGAGCUAAGACUGAAUAAAGUUUUAUUUACUUAAAAAUAUCAAAAUCAUUCUUAGCUCAAUGGGGCCUUUCAGAAACAGGCCAGUGAGUGUGAUUUGGCCCUUGGGUCAUAGUUUGUCAACCCUUUCUAUAGAUGCUAGGAUUCUAGAACUCACAGGAAUAUGACAGUUACCAGGAUAGACAAUGACUCUAACAAUGUAAAUGAAAACCAAGAAAUUGGGAUAGCUCCCCCUCCUUAUGCUUGGGGAACUCAGAAGAGUUACCUCAAGUUCAAGAUACUCUCUGGGUCCCCAUUCACUUAUAAUUAUAGUUUAUAAGCCCCUACCAAUGUGAUUACUUUUUCUUUUUUGUCUACAAAAGGACACAAUUAGAUCAAAGCAUAAGUUUUUAAUGCCUUAGAGCAUUGACUCCUUAGAGUAUAUUAUCCCAUAAAUAUAUACAGCAUUAUGGAGAAAGGGAGUUUUUCCAGGAAUCUCUCCUGAGGGACCCACAUGUGGAGAAUACCUGUAAAAGGGUCAAUUCAAACCUCCAACAAUUCAGGACCCCUGAUGCUUCCUGAAAAUGUCAUCAUGUUUUCUGAUUCUGCUCCUUGCAGUUAAUGAAUGAGUCUGCUUUUCACUCAGGGUGGUAUCUCUGCUGGGGACAUUGCUCUGCUGUACUCUGCUUAUCCCUCCUUCCAUAUACAAUUCUCUAUUGGUCCCAGGAACCCUGGAAUCCAGUGCUCCCUAAAGAAUUUGCCAGAAUCACCAAUGUUGUCCAAAGAGAGAGGCUGGGAACAUAGGAUAGGGGAAAGCAUGCUGGACUUGGAGUUGGAAGAUCUGAGUUCAAAUCUAGCUCCAAAACAUGUGACCUCUUUUAUACUCCCUAUAAUUAUGAACCUCAUUUGCCUUAUUUGUAACUUGAGAAGGUAGACUAAAUGACUUCAAGGAUCCUUCUAGCUCUAAAUAUAUGUUCCUAAUAGCAUCUGCUUCUCCAUAGUAAAGUUGUUCCAAUGUUGUUUCUUUAGAUGUCAUUUAUUGAAUUACAACAUGAUCCACUGAGGCCUAGAAUGCUCCUGAGUCUUCUCAUUGGGAACUCUUAAAAGAGAUUAGCCUGGGUGGCUCAGUAGAUAGAGAGCCAGGCCUGGAGACAGGAGGUUCUUGGUUCAAAU
rnacentral:lncRNA from 1 species